GACGAACGCUGGCGGCGUGCUUAACACAUGCAAGUCGAACGGAAAGGCCCUGCUUUUGUGGGGUGCUCGGGUGGCGAACGGGUGAGUAACACGUGAGUAACCUGCCCUUGACUUUGGGAUAACUUCAGGAAACUGGGGCUAAUACCGGAUAGGAGCUCCUGCUGCAUGGGGGGGGUUGGAAAGUUUCGGCGGUUGGGGAUGGACUCGCGGCUUAUCAGCUUGUUGGUGGGGUAGUGGCUUACCAAGGCUUUGACGGGUAGCCGGCCUGAGAGGGUGACCGGCCACAUUGGGACUGAGGUACGGCCCAGACUCCUACGGGAGGCAGCAGUGGGGAAUAUUGCACAAUGGGCGGAAGCCUGAUGCAGCAACGCCGCGUGCGGGAUGACGGCCUUCGGGUUGUAAACCGCUUUCGCCUGUGACGAAGCGUGAGUGACGGUAAUGGGUAAAGAAGCACCGGCUAACUACGUG
rnacentral:rRNA from 1 species